GGAUUAGGCAUGCAAGUCGCGGGAAUCCCAGCAAUGGGGGAACCGGCGUAAGGGGCAGUAAUGCGUGGGUACCUACCUUGGGAUCCGGGAUAGCCGUCCGAGAGGGCGGGUAAUACCGGAUGAUCUCGAGAGAGCAAAGCUCCGGCGUCCCGAGAGGGGCCCACGUGAUAUUAGCUAGUUGGCGGGGUGACGGCCCACCAAGGCGGAGAUGUCUAGCGGGUGUGAGAGCACGACCCGCGCCACUCGCACUGAGACACUGGCGAGACACCUACGGGUGGCUGCAGUCGAGGAUCUUCGGCAAUGCGCGCAAGCGCGACCGAGCGACGCCGCGUGGGCGAUGAAGGCCUUCGGGUUGUAAACCACUGUCAGUGGGGAGCAAGUGCAUCAGGGUUCUCCCUGGUGUUUGAGCGAUCCGCAGAGGAAGCACAGGCUAAUUCCGUGCCAGCAGCCGCGGUAAUA
rnacentral:rRNA from 1 species